rnacentral:rRNA from 1 species
CGCGUAGGCGGUUUGGUCAGUCAGAUGUGAAAGCCCUGGGCUCAACCUGGGAACUGCAUUUGAUACUGCUGAACUAGAGUGUGGUAGAGGGAAGUGGAAUUCCGGGUGUAGCGGUGAAAUGCGUAGAGAUCCGGAGGAACAUCAGUGGCGAAGGCGGCUUCCUGGACCAACACUGACGCUGAGGUGCGAAAGCGUGGGUAGCAAACA